UCCAACAAGGGUCAGCUCAACCCGCAAACGACUCCAGCGAGGGCGGCGUUGGGGACGGAUGUCCCGUAGCUCGAGCAGGUCGACAGACGGAGAUCCGUCGGAGCGAUGACUACUGUUGUUGGGUGGAGGCCCCCCUCGUGUUAUAGCAGCUGCCUUUCAACCAAUGUCUGAAGCUGAGGAGCAGGUCUGUUUGUAUGUGCGCAGUCCGCUAAGUCAGCGCUAGAUGUACGGUGAGUGUGACAGAACGCCUCCCUCUCCAGUAGCUUCUCCUUAUCACAGAAGCGCUCAAACACCCCUCUGCGGGUCAGGUCGUGUCACGGGUCGGAUCUAAGGAGGUCUACAGGUUUUCUCAAGACUCUUAAGCUACCCGUUGAUGAACGAGGGCAAGCAGAUAAGGCAGCACCAGUAGCUGGUGUUCCUGAAGUACAUUCACUCCUCAUCCACCAAUACAGGCAACGUCUGUUUCAUUGGCAGCUGUUCUGCUGUCAGUCCAAAAGGAAGCGAAAAGGCAGAUUCAAUCUCGCUGCUGCUGAGCGUUCUGUGGCGUUGACAGCAUUUGUAAAAGCGUGCUUGCUGUCCGGCUCCAAGGGACUAAUGGCAUCUGCUCAGAUGAGGUCCGACUGCAGACACAGAGCGGGAGGAAGCCUCCGCUCCUUCACGCGCGUCCCACCUUUGCAUAUGUAAAGGAAAAUAAACAGGCUUUGCUUCCCCCUG